UCCUCUGGUUUAGGGCCGGGGUCGCGCCUCAGCCCCGCGCUCCUGCUGCGGGCACGGAGCGCCCUCAGAGCGGCCGCGGGGCCGCCUGUGCCCCCCUUCCCUCUGUGAGCGCACCUGGGCUCUCCCUCCCUCGCUCGCUCCCUCCCCGCGGCCGCCGAGCCGCGCUCCCUGCGCCCCACAGAUAAGGCCGGGGCUCGCCCCACCCCGCGGGGCACCCGGGGCUCGCCGUGCUGGAUAAGCGGAGCCGCCACGUUGGAAGAAGUUUGCCCCGUGUCCCCCCCCUCCACACCUCGCCCGCGGGUGUUGUGACUUCGCACAGGACCCCACAAAUCCCAGCACAUGCUGCCGGUAGCCCCGCGGGGAGCUGCGAGCCCGGCCGUGCCCCCCCGGCCCUGUCCUUCUGCCAGUGACACUCGUGUCCUGCUGUUAACCCUGUGGAGAGGGGACAAAAGCUAAACUAGGAUCCUGCGCUGCUUCCCCCCCCCCAUCCCGCUGCCGGCUCCAUGAGCUUCACAUCCUCCUGCUAAGGCUGGAACGAACAAGAACAAGAGCUGCUGAUGGUUGUAAGGCCUCGCUCGGUUCUCCCCACCCCCUCCGCCAGCACCAUCCCCCACUGCAGCUCCCAUGGACUCGUAUCCCUCCCAUUAACGCUGGAAGGGGAGGACAGGAGCUCUGAUGGGUUUUUCUCAGGCUUUACUCUGUUUUCUCCCCCCACACACCGACCAGCACGAGCUCCACAGCCCUGCAGAAGUGCAGAGCUGGCUCUGCUACCAUAUCCAUGAAUGCCCCUUCCCUCUGAGCUCCAAGGAAAAAGGAAAAAAACCACCCUGAUUCCCCUCGUUUUGCUUAUUCAUUAUAAGCGGUUGGCAGUGUGCUGCUAAAAACGUGCGAUCUCUUGUUUCAGAAGCAUCUGUGCUUUAAGAAUAAGGUUUUGUCUUCUUGAAUGUGGCUUUUCGUAAUAAUCUCUUGAAGUGCUCCAUUUUUGUCCUUAAAGUUCUAUUUUAUUACCUCUUCUGGAUCAGCGAAGGUCGGUUUAACCCUUUAGAGAUGAACAUCAGCAGCCACUUUAGGAAAAUGUUGCCCUUCUAUUUGUUAAUUCAUGGUUACAAUAAUAUUUUAUGGAGGAUUUUUUUCCCCAGCCCAGUCCUUCUGCAUGCUGAAGGAAGUGUGUGCUUCAGCACUGAUUAAAGUCAUGUAUGAGUUAAUGAGAAGCUUGCAGAGUAUGUGAAGCAAGAGAAAAUCUUUAACCAGCUCUGCUGUUCCUUCUACAUACCACAAACUUGCACGCUGUAACCAGAAGGUGGAUUGAAUAUGUGUGAAAUGCUGCAGUAGGAGACUCAUAAAUCGCAUCACAGGUGGAUGCUCACUCAAUUAAUAUGUUAUCAUUUCAAAAUACCUUGAAGUUAGGUGGGUUUGUUGAUUUUUCUUUUUUUUUAAGUGUUUUGAGACUUCCCAUUUCCACAUACAUAGAAAUGGAUGAAAGAUGCUAUAAGCUUACAAAGUAUCAUUUUGUGGAUGGAUUUUUAAAUUUUGAACAGUCUGUGUUCCCCUGUUCUCACUGCUUCCCGGGUUAAUGGAUUGGUAACACAGGAGGGACUCUGAGGUGCUGGAGGAACCAGCAGUGGUGUCAGCAUUCCAGUUGUGGGACUUCUAAUUUAAGAAAUGUAUUGUCAUAAGGAGUAAGAUCACGGCUGAAUCCUGCUUGCAUUUAGGUCCAAAUACAAAAUACGCUUUGGAAGGAGUCCCCAGGGAGCACUGAGAGUAAUUAAGUAAAAAUAAAACCUUUCACUUCAGCCCCCCCCCCCGCCCUUCCCCUUGUAACACAGACAAGUCAGUGCAAUUCUGGUUUCAUUCCACCAUUUUCAUUAUGUGUCCUGAUAUUUCUUAAUUUUGUAUUGCAGCUGAAAUACUCGGGUGACUUAUAAUUUCAGUGAUUUGGGGGUAUUUCUAGACCAUACUUUUAAAGAAGUCAUCUCGCUGUGUCCCAGAAGGAGCCAUUGAGCAGCCGUUCUCAUAAACAGCACUGAACUUCUUGCAGCCUUGCCUUUCCAAACACCUUUUUUUCCCCCUGUAAUUUUCAUCCUUAACUGUUGAAUUUCCUUUUCUUUACAUUAAGUAAAUAUUUAUUAGUACCACUUGGAUUUUUUUCAUCUUUUUAGAAGAACAGAGCCUUGUCACUGAGACAAUCCUUUCGUGUUGAGGAGGUGACAUAAAAAAGGAGUGAAGGAGAGUUGUCUUGUGCUGGGAAAUGCCAUUUUUGGAAAACAAUACUAUAGGAAAUGGAAAUGAAAAAUACAUUUUGUGCUGGUGGGAACUUGUAAUGAGGCUAAGAGAGGAUUUGAUGUCUCAGAAAAGCAAUGAUUACAAGGGGAAAAGCGGGACUUUAUCAUCCAUUCGUAGAAGUUCUCCAGCUGAAUAUCCUUCUGGGGAGCUGAAAUUUGGCUCAAGUCUGUUUAUGAACAUCUGUUGAAUGGAAUUUUAAAAAGGCACAGAUUAUAAUCUUAGUUUCUCCUCUCUGUUUAAAAUGAUAAAGCAAAAUCAAUGUAUCUGCAAGUCCAUUUUGGGUUUUGUUUUGUUAAUAACGAGCUGCAUGAAUGUUCAGUAGUCUCUACUGCUGAUUAUUGGGCUCUCUAUGUGUUCCCAUACAUUUUUCUCUAGCAUAUAAAAUACUGCCUCUACCCCUUUCUGUAGCUGUCUAAUUCCACUUGAACACUCGUAGAAAGCAUUCAAGUUUUUGUCGGGGUUUUUUUUGUGACAGGAGGCUCUUGGAUGUUGGCAUCUGUGACAUUUUUCGCACCGGGAGCACAGCGCUGUGUUUGAAGGGAGAUGCUGAGAGCUGUUGGGUAUUCCCAGAACUGCAGCCGUUUGCUUCGAUUCACAUCCUGCCCACCUGUACUCUGCCAGGGCUGUAAAUGCAACCACUUUGUGUCCCCUGGCUCAGGAUAGCCCCACUUCAGCUUCUAUUUCUGCAGCAUUUGUGACCUCCUCUUAUUCAGGGAGGACUUCACUGUAAUUUUCCCUCCUAUUAUUUUGCCUCUUUUCACAGCCUGAUGUUUUUUUGCUGUUGUUUUCUAUUCCAAGCGAGGAUGCUGUGAGUGCUUCAGCUCAAAAUUUAGGUCAUCUCCAAUGGAAGAAGGGAGACCUAAAAAGUAAAAAUAAGAUUUCAAUGUGCCUUUAAAAGUGACAACUCUUUGGGAAAAAAUGUACAAGCUCACCUGUAUUUUGUGGCAGGACAGGAAUGGAGGGAGCCUUUCCCAAUUCCAGAAUGAAAGCUGAGUCUCUCUUUGUGAGUGUGAUUUCUUUUCCAUGUGCUUUCCUGGUCUUUCAUUUUCACACCUGAUUUGAGCUUUAAUCACUCAAAUUAUUCAUAGACUUGCCCUGGAAAAAGAAGAGAGUGACCUCUUCCCAUCUGGAGUAGAUGGAUUCACCACCAACAAUUGUAAAUGGAUGACUUAAUAAUGGGGUUUGCACUCAAAAUUUUUAAUUCUGUGAUUUCAUUGUGUUUCAGGAGUUCUGCAUGUGGUCUUUUCUGAACUGAUAAAUUGGAGUUGUACCACAGAGAUUUAUUUCUUGCAGUUUAUCUCUUAGCAUUGGGCUCCUGUCUACAAAGAGCUGAUGAUCCCCUGAGCUGCUGAAGUGCCAAAGCACCUUGCCCAGGACCAGGCCUGUGAGUUGUUUUUUUUUUUUUGUCUGUAAUUAUAUCCAAUGUCUUCCAUGACAAGGAACCUCAAGACAGUUUAUGAAAUCGACAGCCACAAAAGCACUGCCCAUUGGGGGUUAUGUGAUUACAAUUUAGUUGUCCCUCAGCCUGAGGGUGCCUGAGGGGACAGAGCCAACUGCUCCUCAGUUCCUGUGAGUGGCUGGAAUUAGCCACUGGAAUUGAUAGAUAUCUGUUGCUCUUGCUUUCCUGUUAAAGGUGGCUUAAUUUAAAUUAUGAAGGAACUUUUGAAUCCAUUUUGUUUGGUUUCUGCUCUUCCUAGCAGCUCUCUGCAGUUUUAUAUGUAUUAAAAGUGCUAAGCUUCCUCUGGCCUAGAUGUACAAUAAAUACCUUAGUCAAUGCAGUUAAGUCCAGUUUCCUCUAUUCACUCAGAAGAGAUUUGUUCCUUAUCUGAAUUGUUCCUCCAUUCAGAAGGAGAGAAGCCUCGCGCAGCCAGAGCUCACUUCAUAAAUCACCCAGACAAAUGGAGCUUGGGGCAGAAGAAGAUACAAAAUGGGAAUAGUUGUGAUUUAGGCUCCAUGAGGUUUUUGGAUUUCUGCUAUGGGAAUGUGCUUACCAACUAUUUGAAAUACAAAUGUUUAGAAUAGUCACCAUUUUCCAGUUAUUCCUUCAACUGGACUUGCAGUUAUCAGCUGGGCCCUGCACCUCAAGGGUGCCUCCCUUCACCCUUAAACAUCCUCUGGUAUUUGGUGGCUUCUUUUUAACAGUAUUGGUCUGGAAUUGAUAACUUUUUUUUAUCAGAAGGUUAGAAAGAGCUCCUUGGUCUUCACCCAGGCUCUGCUCUGAUCCACAGAUACGGCACAGUCCACUCACUAAUUUCUUUGGCUCUGUCAUGGCAGAGGUGGCUCCCAGCCAGGAAUCAGUGCCAUCACAGCAGCUCGGAGGACCUGGAGUGCAGGUUCUGGACCAAACGAUGGUAACAUCUCCCAAUCCCAGAGUCACCCUGUUUCUGCUGCUCCCAACUCUUCUGAUGACACCAAGCUUCUCUUUGCUUGGUCUUCUGCCUAACUUAAACAAUUCAUCUCAUUUGUGUUCAAUACAAGGUUAUUUUCUACUAUUAGCUCCUUUAUAAUGUUUUCAUUGCUUACAGUUCUGAAAGUUGGUAUCUUUUCAAUUCCAAGAGUGUUUGAUAAAUACAUUUGUUGGCACCUGUCCUUGUUUCCCUCUGCUCCUCCCAUAUUCAUUCUAAGGACCCUUCACAACAAUCUCACCUCCCUGAGUUAUGAGUGGUCGCUCCCUCUACCAGAUUAGAGCUUCCUGUUGGUGUUGUGUCAUUUCUGAGCAAGGAAAGGCUGAUACCUUUGAGCUCAGUGGUUGCUUCUUCUCCUCAGCUCUCCCAGGGGUCUUGCAGGCGCUUUCAGUUCUGCCUCACAUCUUUGAUUUGGUGAGGUUCCCUGCUAUUUACAUUUCUUCACAUAUAUCCUCUUCAUACCAUCUGCUACCUUAUGUUUUGCUCGUCUCUGAAAUGUAGUGACCAUAUUUCACGCAACGUUGUUCUACAUGAUUUUCUUAAAAUUUAAUUAAAAGGUUCUGAAAGAACAAAGCAAAUUAGAAUCCACCCAUUUUGUGCAGACACUUUAAGUGAAUGGGAAACAACUCAAUAAAGACCUUCAAAUGCCUUGAAUGAAUUUGUGACUGAAAUUCUGUGCACUGUUUAUCCAAAGGGUCUAUUAUUAAAUUAAUUAGGAGAGUUUUAUUUCUGACAAAAGUUAAGGCUGUUAUUAAAGAACAGCAUCUUCUCUAGAAACUCUCUUUGGAAUUCAGCAGUUCUCCUGAGUACUGUUUACUCUGGAGUGAGUGUGUGGCUGUGCCUUGUUAGAUAAAAGCUGCAGCACUAAAACUGUUUUACUGAACUUAGCUCCUGACCUGCCUUCUGAGGCCACAGCUACAAAGGGAUGAUACAUCAAUCUAGUUUGUUUGAUCUAAUUACAGCUGUUUAACCAUCCUGAGCACAAGUGCACUCACCCCACUUUGUUAUGCUGAUUUCAGGUAUUUUCACUCUUAAUCGGGUGCACGGUUCUUGGUUCUUUCUUGUAUUAAUUUACCUCUCAAGAUAUUCUGGGCAGUUAUCCCACAGAGAGGUGUUCUGCUACUCCGCUGUAUGUUAUUUUUCACAAUGUGUUGACAGGGAAUUCUCAGUAAUUUAGGGAUUCUGUGGGUCGACCUGACAAAUGGCUACUCCUUUUCUCCUGACAUCCAUUGGUUUUUUGCCUGUGCAACUUCUUUUCUGAAAGGCUGCAAGGUUGCAUGAAGAAGAAAGUGGUAAAUCCAUGAAAACAUGCCUUAACAUGGAGAAGCCCAUUGCCACCUGUGGGAGAGCGGAUUUCUGAUUACUUCUAACUGAAAACUCUGGGGUUUGUGUCAAGAAUAUUGUCAUGGGAUCUGCUUUUAAUGUAUAUAUAUGAUCUUUUAUGCUUAGCUCAAGAAAUUACCUGGAGUUUCCCCCAUACACAGUCUGUGAAUCAAACAAGGGUUAUGGAGCUUCAAAGAAUAAACAUGGUCUAUCUCCUCUUCUGCUUCCAGUGCCCGUGAACUUUGGAUUGCUGACCUGUCCUCUAACAAAAUGGACUAUUGGUAUCUUAUGCCCUCUAUUCUACCAUGAGCUCUCUCCUUUUUAUUUUCCCUCUCUUUUUUUUUUUUUUUCUUUUCUAAUUGAUUAAGCAAAUCCAGCAUUUCAGUUUGUUCUUGAGGGUUAGAUUUCCUCAGCCUCCCAGCAUUCUUGUUGCUCUCUCCAUGCUCUUCCAGUUGCUUUGCAUCUGGUUUUAUUUUCUUAUGUGGAACCUGAAAGAGGACAGAAUAUUCCAGCUGAGAUCACACUGAGUUCAGCAGGAGAAUUGUCAGGGGUGUCCUACGUAAAGCAGCCUUAUUAAAUAUUUCUGUGAUGUAUUGUCUUUACUGUGCUGACUCAAAUUCAGUUUGUGAUCUGUUACAACCACUGCUUGCCCAGAUCCUCCCCUCCUCAUCCAUGCUCCUGUCUUGGUCCUUGGCUGCGAAAAAACUCCUCUGAAAAUGCCAUGCCUGGAAACAAGGGGAUGACAAAGAUCUGAGGAGGCUUUCCAAGUGCACUGUUCUCGUGAACUCCAAGUGUGUCAGCUUGCUGAUGGAAGAGGAAUUGUGAAAUAAUGUGUGUUCACAAUAUUGGAUGGAAAUGAUAACAUGUUUUGUCUUAUUAUCACUCUGAAAGUCUCAAUGUCCUAGAAGUUCUGAGUUGGAAUAGGAACGGUUGUUUGCAAAUGGGAGAGAACAUAGUUAUAGUGCCUGAGUCUUAGAUUAUCAUUUUCUUACUAAAUGUUUCACUCUCCCAGUAACAAGGCAAGCAGAAUAAUUAGCUAAUGCACCUUUAAAGAAUUAAUAGAGUUGCUAGAGGUGAGAUGAGCCAAAAAUUAAAUCUGGAAGGCAUUUGAAGAAAACAACAACAGAUAAGUUCUGGGGCUCUCAUUUGGUCCAAAACAUUGAUGACAUGAAGAUACAAUUCAUGGCUGUGAGGUGUCCUCUGGUGAGAACACUGAGAAAAAGAAAAAGGUAAAGAAAAAAAGGAGGAAAACACCCAAACUGAAGAUGCUUUUUGGCUCCAUGCUUGUGUGUGUCAUUGUUUAUAGGAAGAGGUGGCAGACCCAAGGAAGCUCGCAGCAGUGGGAUGGAAAAAUCUCCAGUGGGCAGGCGAGUAAGACAGAAGAUCCCCAGAAGGGCAGCCCUGGUUUGCUGCUAUUUUGCUAAAGCAGAUAUGUUUUGUUUGGAGCGGGGAAGAGAUGUGAGAUGAAAGAAAUGGGUGAUACAUGUUCCUGGUGGUUCCUUGUGAUGGAAACAGAACGACUUUAGGACAAACAGACCUAUGAUGUGGUCUUCUGGGGGGUGCAGUCCUCUGGGAUUUUGGAAAGCUGCUCCCUUGGAAAUCUCUCUCUUUGAAGAGUUCCCUGCAGAGCAGAGGAGCCCUCCCUGCUGAGGGGACAGUGACAGUGACAGUGACAGUGUGUGCAGGCUCGGCCACACAAGGAUCAGUGCUGAGUCCUCCAAGCACUGGCUGACACAGGGAAUGUGCUGAGCUGGUGUGUGCUCCAGGCCCACAUUAAUUCACUCUCUGUUCCGUGGUUCUUCACGCUCCUGUGACCCGGAUGAAUUUACCAGGGAGCUGAGCAGGGUGUUCAGUUUUCCUGUCUGCCGUUCUUACACUUUUGCCCACCCAAAUCCAGUUCUUUGCACCAUGAUGCAAGCUCUAAUUAUAAAUCGAGUCAUACAACCUGCCUUCUCAAACUCUUGUCUCAUUCAGAGUUUUCUUUUAUCCUUGUUAUUUGAUGUUUGCUUCCAUAUUUUAUUUAUUGCAUAUAAUUCAAGUGCUGCAGUAAAUACAGAAUUACUAGUUGUAAUGGAUUUUUUGUUACACUUAUCACUACGGUGUCUGAAUACUUUUUAACCACCAUAAAUGUAUCUUCACAAUAUUACAGAGAUGUUCUUCUCAUUUCACAGAUUAAAAGUGGGGAAAAUAAUGACAAAACUGUCAAAGUUGUCCACUGGGUCUGUGUUCCCCAGAGGAAAGAAGGAUUCUAGUUUUAAUAAUGAUAAUAAUAAUAAUAAUUUUCUAAUAAUAAUAAUAUUUAUAAUAAUAAUAAUCCUAUUCUAGCAACCAUUUAAAUUGUACUCAGGCCUUUAGAUAUGUAUUUGUUGCCAGCAUAACCCUCGAGUUCAAAUACUGUCUUCAAGCCACAGUCUGUGUAUACAAACUCACCCUAUCACCCCUCUCUUUGUUGGAAUUUGCUGAAAGGAAGCUUCACUCUUCUCUCCUGGCAGAUUCCUUGCUCUUGUAACCAGCUCAGGGAGCUUUUUCUAUGAUUAUUCCAGUUUUCACAUGUCAUUCUUGAAUAGAAACGGUAUCCAAAAUUCUGUAAGAGAGCCGUUGCCAUAACAUCUGGAUAUGCCUUACCUGGUCUUCAGAUGCCAUUUGUCAUCUUCAUUUCUGUGACUAAAUAACACUUGUGAGUCUUCAUCCGGCCCUGCUAACUGUGGUGAAUUCCCAGUUUACAAGAGUUUUGGCUGUCAGUCCCUGUGUGAACAGCCUUGUGAUUUGCAUUAAUCUUAUUACUGCAUUCCACCAGCCCAUUCCUCAGGAUUCCUGUGCUGUUCCAGAACCUCAUCCAGUUCUUCAUUUAGGAUAUUCCAGUCUUCUGCACUGAUGCCUUUGGAUGUUGUCAGUAACUACCUGUAUUAACACUCCUUUUCCAGUUCCUUGCACUUGUGUCACUUGAAACCCAUCAAUGGCACCCGUUCUGAGACCAAAGCUGCAGGAGCUUUCAAAGCACUUGCUCUCUAGCCCAAAACUUCCCAUUUCAGCACAAUCCAGCACUGGAUUUUUAGUCAUAUUUUACCCACAAACUUCUCUUGCACUGACCUUCGUAUUUUCCAAUUUAACUGGUAUUUUUGCAUGAUGCACCAGACCAAACACUUCACUGAUUUUGGGAUGGGUGAGAUCUACUGUGUCUUCUUUUACUCAGAAAAAUUUGCUGCCUUGUCAAAGAAAGACGUCAGCUUUGUCUGGCAUGAGUGCAACUUUUGUUGCAUUUCAUCUCUUUACUUUCCUCUACUUUUUUUCCCCCUCCUGAGAAAAAAUAAUUUAAGUUUUGCAUCUCACUGAGGUCGGGCUAAUUAGUCUUUCAUUGUCUGGACAUUACUUUCACAGUCUUUGGCUUGAUUUUGGGGUGGGUUUUUCCCUUUCUCCCCAUAAUUGGAUGUGAAAUUUAGAUUAUUUUUGUACCUCUAGAAGUGGUGGAAAUAAAUUUACUCAUUUGCAUCACAGCUCAGCUGUAGUGCUUCAUGUUUUGGUUGGAUUUUGUUUGUUGGUGGCUGUUUUGAUUUGGUAUUUUUUUUUUAUUUUUAAAGAAACUUGCUGCAUUGUGGCUAUUAAACUGGGAAAAGUAAUGAAUUUUGAAGUAUUUGCAAAGUUCUUUAAAUCAUAAUGAUAAUGAGAAGUUUCUUGAGCAAUGACAGCUGAAUCCUGGGCUCCGUUAUCCUGUGGGAUGUUGAUAAGUGCCAGGGGCUCGUUGCAGCCCGUGGCUCAUCACUGCCCUGCAGAAGUUCUGCUCCUCGUGCUGCCUCAGCAUUAUUUACUGCUCUCAGCCCUGUGUUUAAACAGAAAAUGAAGCGUGUUGGGCACUCUGCACACAUGUAUGAGGCAGUCCUGAACAAAAUACACUCUAAAAAUAGACAGGGUAAGUGAAACAAUAGGAAGACAGUGAUUCUAGAGGGUCAGGAUUGUGUGGGGAGGGCUGCAGUGCCCUCAGCAAACCCAGGGCACAGGAAAACCCGAGGUCAGUAACUAUGUUUCCUGAAGCUGGGAAAAGUAAUAUUUUUAAAUGCUUUGUUUCAUAAUACAGUUAAUUGCACGUUUCUCUGACAGCUCUAAUGACUGUGACUCUUUCUGAUCACGUUUCACUCAGGAUCUAAUUCUAAAGAUCGGGAUGCAAGCAACAACCGUUAUAUGUUUGGAUUUGGAGUGGGGGUUUUUGUUGUUUUGCCAGAUACACUCAAUAUUUUUAUAAAUAAUUGAAAAAUAUGUCUUUUUUACGAUUCUUCAGUAUGUCUGGAGCUCCGUUUUACAGAAGCAGCUCUGGCCAAUGCCUUUGUUUUAGUGAACAUGUGUGUGAUAUCCCAGCCUCUACCAGCAGUGCUGUUGCUGAGGUGUGAUCACGGGCCUCUCUCAAGACAGAGAUAACUGAUAGAUAAAAAUGACCUCAUUUCACAGUCCCACAGCUGAACUCUAAAAGUUCCAGCAAAGCUGAUCAGAAUGUGUUUGAAUUUUUGUUUCUGAGUAAAUGUCACCGAGGUCCCUACUUGUGACAUUCAGAAGGUGACUUUUAGGCCAUUUGAGCUCAACUGGGUGGAGGCCUGGAGCAGAAAAUCAGUCCCAUCCCCACACAUGGACCCUGUGUGUGUAGGAAGUCCCAACACUCCCUGGGGGGGCUCAUUACAGAAUUCAGAUUGGGAAAUACACAUCUAUGGGAGACUGAUGAAAGGUAGAUAGGGACAAUUUCUGUUCGACCCUUUCUUGGCCAGUGUUUGCAAGCUGCUCAACACCUUGUUUUUGUGGAAUAUUGAGAUUGUUUUGGAUUAUUCAUUUUUUCACCAGUUAUUUGUGCCUGCCUUUGUACAGCUGGAGUGAAGGGACGUUACUAAGUGUUCUCCCCAUAGCAUGAAUAUUUAAUAGUUUGUGUGUUCCUUCUCUGUGUCGUGUGUGUGCCUAUAUAAUACCAACAAAAUCUCUUAAAGUCAGUUUUUGCAAGAGAUUUUCAAAGCACAUCAUGUAACUGAGUCACAGUGCUGAGUAAACCACGCUAUUGUAGAAUUUCACCUAAAAUCUGAAUUUGCCAAAUGGUGGUAUUUUGCAAAUAAGCACAGAUUCUGCUAACUUCCCCUGGAGAUUUUAUUCCAGUCUCAUCCAAUUUCCCAGUGUGGACAAACUGGUGUGUCUUAGAAAAAAAGAGAAAAUGUUUAGCCUAUUGAAAAGAGGAUUUUCUUUGUUUCUCAGAUGUGCAGAUACUCAUGUUCUGGAGCUCAGAGCUGCUCUGAGUGUGCUGGGCGGAUCCUGCAAAGUGCUGAGUGCAUGGCUAACUUUAAGGGAGUAGAUCCUUAGAAUCACCAGGGCUGCUGAUGUUUAAAAUUACGAAGAGACUUAAGUACUCUGAUGGCCCCCGGCCAGUGGCUUUCACAUCUCCUAGCACUGAGCCCUAAGGAGACGCAGUGAUCAGCUGCAGCUCAAUUUCCUUCUCCCGUUUUAAAUAUAAGGUUUAAAGCCCAAAUUCUGGCAGCUGUUUAAUUAAAGAUACUCGUUUUAACUGUGAGGAAUGUGAUAUGCAGCGGCGCUACGCCUGCUUCCUUUCUUUCUUCCUCUCCUGGCAUCCCAGCUCACUCCUCUACAGCGUUUAGUGCAGGGCUUGCAGUUUUCACUGCUGCUCCGUUCCUGCUUUAUCCUCUUCCAUCUUUUCCAUCUGCUUUAUUCUGUUUGGAAAAUGGCAAUGUAGAAUGUGUUUGGUGUAACCUUAAUCCUGACCAGCAUCUGGGCUCCGUUUGAAAAAAAAAAAAGCAUCUACUGCAAGCAAGGCUCUCCCUCCCUCACGGCCGGAGUGGAAAAGCACGUUUAAAUCCCGAACUCGGCUUUCCCACGUGGUGUCUCGCUGAGCUGCUGUCACAGCCACGCCGCGCUCUCACAGGACACCAGAGCUUCUCCCCUGCCCUGCCAGGAAGGUACAAGGCUCUUGUGUUUUGAUUCCACCUGGACCGCGUGUACAAAUAAUGAGGGGAUUAAAGUUCUGCUCCCCCUUCCUGGGUGCCCUCUAAAGGGAUGGAUGUUUGUCAGCGAUUUGGGGGUUAAUUCAGGCAAGUUUAUUUCACAUUCUGGGUCUGCACACACGCAAAGAGCACGAGUGGUUUGGGGUGAAGGGUUAGCAGCGUGUACAGGGGGACAAAACCAAUUGUGGAUAUUAAUAUGGGAUGUACUGGAUGUGUGUCUAAGCAUUAAAUCGAGGGGGGGGGACUGGGUUUU